rnacentral:rRNA from 1 species
GAUGAACGCUGGCGGCGUGCCUAAUACAUGCAAGUCGAGCGAACAGACGAGGAGCUUGCUCCUCUGACGUUAGCGGCGGACGGGUGAGUAACACAUGGAUAACCUACCUAUAAGACUGGGAUAACUUCGGGAAACCGGAGCUAAUACCGGAUAAUAUAUUGAACCGCAUGGUUCAAUAGUGAAAGACGGUUUUGCUGUCACUUAUAGAUGGAUCCGCGCCGCAUUAGCUAGUUGGUAAGGUAACGGCUUACCAAGGCAACGAUGCGUAGCCGACCUGAGAGGGUGAUCGGCCACACUGGAACUGAGACACGGUCCAGACUCCUACGUGAGGCAGCAGUAGGGAAUCUUCCGCAAUGGGCGAAAGCCUGACGGAGCAACGCCGCGUGAGUGAUGAAGGUCUUCGGAUCGUAAAACUCUGUUAUUAGGGAAGAACAAAUGUGUAAGUAACUAUGCACGUCUUGACGGUACCUACUCAGAAAGCCACGGCUAACUACGUG